GUCCACUGCUCAAGGACAUGCCUGCCUGCCUCCCAGGCGAAGGCGGGCCACCCACCACUGGGGGAGAGUGUAGAGGGUGAACAAAGAGGGAUCCAUACCCUUAAGAUGCUCCCAGCUAAUAGAGAAAGCAGACAUACUUCUGUAGCUCUCUGGGCAAGCCUCUUCUUAUUUCUGGCUUCCUGGGCCGUGGGUGUCAAAAGUUUUUAUUUAUUUAAGUAAUCUUUCCACCCAACAUGGGGCCUGAACUCACGACCUCAAGAUCAAGAGUUGCUCACUCUUCCGACUGACUCAACCAGGACAAACCUCAACAACAGUGAUUUUUCUUCCUCUCUUUCUCCCCCUUCUCUUUCUCUCUUUCCUUCUUUGACAGAGGUGACAAAGUAGAAGAGAUGUCUGUCGAUGAAAAGCUGUUUUUAUUCCCAUUUCUCUGCUGUACCAUCUAAGUGAAUUCAGACAUCCCCAAAUGGGCCAAAUACCCAGUUUAAAUAAUGGGCUUUCCCUUAACAAGCAAAGGAGUGAAUGUCUAAACCAGGGAAAUCCCGAAAUCCCUGUGGGGGGACAGAACCUUUAUUACUCAUCCUAGGAGGCUUCCCUUUUGUUGGCUGCCCUGAAGUUUUCCCAUCAUAGGAUAAUGAAUCAUGGUAAGACGUGUAAGAGUGGAGGGGCAUGCCUUUCUUUCACAAAGUGAAGAAAGGCUAUAGGGAACUCCAGCACCUUCUUAGCCCGACCGCUUUAGGAAAGAGCACAUAUGGAAACUGAAAAUCUGAAAGUUGAUUCUUUUAAGACUAUCCACGCUGUACCCCUGAAAGGUCUUCAUGUGCCCCAAAGUUAGGGGGUUCCUGGUAAAUUAGGGGAUCUUCCAGGUUAUUGGAGUAAAGCGGGACUGUGCCGAGGGCAGAUAUUUCUUGUAAAAGAAGAGAACUUCACUUAUUGUCAUGACUUGGCUAUGUGCAGGAGAGCUGGGACAUCUCUCCCAACUCUGAGAACUUUCUUUGGGCUUGUGUGCUGAGAACCACAGAAAGGGCUUUUUGGGGUGCCUGGGUGGCUCAGUUGGUUAAGCAUCUGCCUUCAGCUCAGGUCAUGAUCUCAGUCAGGUCCUAGGAUUGAGUUCUGCUUAAUGGUGGUGGUGGGGAGGAGUCUGUUUCUCUCUCUCCCUCUGCCCGCCCCCCCGCCCCCCCACUGUGCUCUCUCUCGCUCAAAUAAAUAUAUAUAAAAUCUUUUUUUAAAAAGUGCUUUUCUAAGUAGAUCAUAAGCAUUCUGAGUGCAGAUGCCUAUCCUCUUUUUCCCCCAGAGUGCCCAGGAUUGUGCUGGGCAUAUGAUAGACCUGCAUACACACUCACAAAUGGACUUUUCUAUUUCAUGGGAGUGAAAGGCUCAAAGAGACCUCUAGAAUUCUGCAGUUCACUCUCUAGUGCACUUGGUGAAAUGAAAUUCAAAGUCUCAAAGGCGGCUGAGAACCUAUCCAAGUCUUACAAAGCAAGAGAAAGAUUCCAAUAAUAUCACUUGUUGACCCCUUCCAGGAUCUAAGAGCCUGGAGUACCAGAAAUGUUUCCCUAUGUGUCACCUAAGUGUCGGCUUGUUUUCCAACAUGGACUGAGGAUGAUUGGUCCCAUCAUCGGUGACCUUCAUCUUUACCACUAAGUUGUGCCUUCCUCCCACCCUCCCUUCCUCUGGAUGGCAGGUCUGAGUUCUUUUUAUGUCUCAGAGGUGUAGCAUAUUUUUGGAAGGUGUUCUCAUUUACCUUCUCUUAUUCUGAGCUGGAGAGAAUUUCAAUUUCAAAGGAAAAAUAAUCUUAAAAUUACCUUUCUAGCUUUAAUAAGAUCUGUGAUAUUCAUGGAAAAUGCUGUAUAUUUGCUAUUUCCCACUCUCCCCGCCAUCUCAGAGUGCUCACUGUUAACCCUGAUAUCAGAUCUCCCCAUAGUCAUUGCUGCUACUGUUGUGAGCUGGGCACCAGGCAGCCCUGAUAGAGACCACACUCCUCAACUCCCCUUGCAACUGACUGUGGCCCCAAACAUAAAAAUAGCCAUGUUGCCUGGAAGCUUAUGUACAGUUCCAUCAAAGAUAGCAGUGCACAUGCUUUUGGUCUCUUCUUUGCCUUUUGUUCACUGUUCUUUCAGCUUAUCUAUUGCUGUGCACCAAUCCAUUCCAAAAAUUAGUGGCCCAAACCACUACAAUUUAUUAUUUUUUGCCAUUCCAUGAGUUGGGAGGUUUCUUAGCUUAUCUCAUGGGAUGUCCUAGUUGGGCCACAAGAUCUAAGAGGGCCUCAUUGUCAUGUCAGGCAGCUGGGGCUCCUCGCUUCUUCUCCACGAAGAGUCUCAUUCUCCCACAGGCUAGAUGGGCUUUAUCACAACACGGUGUUCUCAGGGCUUCAAGGGGGAGAGAGAGAGGAAACAUCAUGAUUCCGUAAGGUCUAGGCCCUUAUUCAUACACCGUUAGUUCUGCCAACUUUAUUGGGUCAACCUGGAUUCAAGGAUGGAGAAAUAGACUCCUGGUCUUGAUGGAAGGAGAGGCAGUGUCCUUGACAUCACAAAGGUGUGUAGACACAGAAGGGGUGAUUCACUGGAUUAAAAACAAUCCAUCACAAUUGUGGGCUGGGCUAUGGAUAUGAUGUCUAGAAUGCAACCAGCUCUGCUGGACGAGCUAUAGCGACCUUGUGCUGAGAAAUGGAAGCAGUGAGGGAAAGAUCCUGAGUCUCUGCAGCUUUGGGAAGGCUCUCUGUGAGCCAUAGACUGUCUACCUCCAUUGUGGUUUUACGGGAGAGAUCGAUAAGCUCCUUUAUUGUUUGAGCCCCUGUCAUUUUGAACUUUCUGUCACUUGCAGCCAAGUCUUUACAUGCUCUCCAAUGCUCAAUCUGUCUUAAAUUCCCAGUGCUGCUUACCAGCCUAGGUUACCACUACUUAGAGUUUUCUGCAAUUUCAGGGUUGGAGAGGAAGGGGGAAACCUAACACUUUGGAGAUGGCAACAUGAUGUUGUGAUGUAAUUUCCUGUCCCACUUGGCAAGCCUGGGGAAAAUAAAAUGAGGAAGGUGGCCAGGAGGGAUGCUACCACGAGGCAGGAAGAAGUUUGGAAUUGUCACAAGCCUGAAAUGUUGCCUGGUUCCAAGUCGUUCAA